AGAGUUUGAUCCUGGCUCAGAUUGAACGCUGGCGGCAUGCCUUACACAUGCAAGUCGAACGGUAACGCGGGGCAACCUGGCGACGAGUGGCGAACGGGUGAGUAAUGUAUCGGAACGUGCCCAAUAGUGGGGGAUAGCCCGGCGAAAGCCGGAUUAAUACCGCAUGAGACCUGAGGGUGAAAGCGGGGGAUUCGCAAGAACCUCGCGCUAUUGGAGCGGCCGAUAUCAGAUUAGGUAGUUGGUGGGGUAAAAGCCUACCAAGCCGACGAUCUGUAGCUGGUCUGAGAGGACGACCAGCCACACUGGGACUGUGACACGGCCCAGACUCCUACGGGAGGCAGCAGUGGGGAAUUUUGGACAAUGGGCGCAAGCCUGAUCCAGCCAUGCCGCGUGCGGGAAGAAGGCCUUCGGGUUGUAAACCGCUUUUGUCAGGGAAGAAAUCCUUUGAGUUAAUACCUCGGGGGGAUGACGGUACCUGAAGAAUAAGCACCGGCUAACUACGUGCCAGCAGCCGCGGUAAUACGUAGGGUGCGAGCGUUAAUCGGAAUUACUGGGCGUAAAGCGUGCGCAGGCGGUCUUGCAAGACAGGUGUGAAAUCCCCGGGCUUAACCUGGGAACCGCACUUGUGACUGCAAGGCUGGAGUACGGCAGAGGGGGAUGGAAUUCCGCGUGUAGCAGUGAAAUGCGUAGAUAUGCGGAGGAACACCGAUGGCGAAGGCAAUCCCCUGGGCCUGUACUGACGCUCAUGCACGAAAGCGUGGGGAGCAAACAGGAUUAGAUACCCUGGUAGUCCACGCCCUAAACGAUGUCAACUGGUUGUUGGACGGCUUGCUGUUCAGUAACGAAGCUAACGCGUGAAGUUGACCGCCUGGGGGAGUACGGCCGCAAGGUUGAAACUCAAAGGAAUUGACGGGGACCCGCACAAGCGGUGGAUGAUGUGGUUUAAUUCGAUGCAACGCGAAAAACCUUACCUACCCUUGACAUGUCUGGAAUCCUGAAGAGAUUUGGGAGUGCUCGAAAGAGAACCAGAACACAGGUGCUGCAUGGCCGUCGUCAGCUCGUGUCGUGAGAUGUUGGGUUAAGUCCCGCAACGAGCGCAACCCUUGUCAUUAGUCGCUACGAAAGGGCACUCUAAUGAGACUGCCGGUGACAAACCGGAGGAAGGUGGGGAUGACGUCAGGUCCUCAUGGCCCUUAUGGGUAGGGCUACACACGUCAUACAAUGGCCGGUACAGAGGGCUGCCAACCCGCGAGGGGGAGCCAAUCCCAGAAAACCGGUCGUAGUCCGGAUCGUAGUCUGCAACUCGACUGCGUGAAGUCGGAAUCGCUAGUAAUCGCGGAUCAGCUUGCCGCGGUAAAUACGUUCCCGGGUCUUGUACACACCGCCCGUCACACCAUGGGAGCGGGUUCUGCCAGAAGUAGUUAGCCUAACCGCAAGGAGGGCGAUUACCACGGCAGGGUUCGUGACUGGGGUGAAGUCGAACAAGGUA
rnacentral:rRNA from 1 species